GACAGAGGAUGCAAGCGUUAUCCGGAAUGAUUGGGCGUAAAGCGUCUGUAGGUGGUUUAUCAAGUCUUCUGUCAAAGAUCAGGGCUUAACUCUGGGCAGGCAGGAGAAACUAGUAGACUAGAGUUCGGUAGGGGCAGAGGGAAUUCCCGGUGGAGCGGUGAAAUGCGUAGAUAUCGGGAGGAACACCAAAGGCGAAAGCACUCUGCUGGGCCUCAACUGACACUGAGAGACGAAAGCGAGGGGAGCAAAUGGG
rnacentral:rRNA from 1 species